CACGUAGGGCGCAAGCGUUGUCCGGAAUUAUUGGGCGUAAAGAGCUCGUAGGCGGUCUGUUGCGUCCGCUGUGAAAACUCGGGGCUUAACCCCGAGCCUGCAGUGGAUACGGGCAGACUAGAGGUAGGUAGGGGAGAAUGGAAUUCCCGGUGUAGCGGUGAAAUGCGCAGAUAUCGGGAGGAACACCGGUGGCGAAGGCGGUUCUCUGGAACGUUUCUGACGCUGAGGCUCGAAAGCGUGGGGAGCAAACAGGG
rnacentral:rRNA from 1 species